rnacentral:misc_RNA from 1 species
AACGCACGAGACCUGCGGACCUGCGGAAGGAUCAUUAGCGUAGAGGAAAAGGGCGUGAGCUCUUUUCAUAUUUGCCCGUUUCUGAUGUUCGCAUCAGAUAAAUCGGCUCGAAUGCUAGUUGGCUGAGUGUGAUUGACAUUUAUGUAGUACAACUUUUAACAACGGAUCUCU